rnacentral:rRNA from 1 species
UACGGGGGGGGCUAGCGUUGUUCGGAAUUACUGGGCGUAAAGGGCUCGUAGGUGGCCAACUCAGUCACUCGUGAAAUCCCUCGGCUUAACCGGGGAACUGCGUGUGAUACUGGAUGGCUUGAAUCCGGGAGAGGGAUGCGGAAUUCCAGGUGUAGCGGUGAAAUGCGUAGAUAUCUGGAGGAACACCGGUGGCGAAGGCGGCAUCCUGGACCGGUAUUGACACUGAGGAGCGAAAGCCAGGGGAGCAAAC